rnacentral:rRNA from 1 species
ACUCCUGCGGGAGGCAGCAGUGAGGAAUAUUGGACAAUGGGUGGAAGCCUGAUCCAGCCAUCCCGCGUGCAGGAAGACGGCCCUAUGGGUUGUAAACUGCUUUUAUCUGGGGAUAAACCUACUUACGUGUAAGUAGCUGAAGGUACCAGAAGAAUAAGCACCGGCUAACUCCGUGCCAGCAGCCGCGGUAAUACGGAGGGUGCAAGCGUUAUCCGGAUUUAUUGGGUUUAAAGGGUCCGUAGGCGGACUGAUAAGUCAGUGGUGAAAUCCGACAGCUUAACUGUCGAACUGCCAUUGAUACUGUUAGUCUUGAGUAAGGUUGAAGUGGCUGGAAUAAGUAGUGUAGCGGUGAAAUGCAUAGAUAUUACUUAGAACACCAAUUACGAAGGCAGGUCACUAAGUCUUAACUGACGCUGAUGGACGAAAGCGUGGGGAGCGAACAGGAUUAGAAACCCCUGUAGUCCCAUG